ACAAUGAAGAGUUUGAUCCUGGCUCAGGAUGAACGCUAGCUACAGGCUUAACACAUGCAAGUCGAGGGGCAGCAUGAAUAUUGGCUUGCCAAUAUUUGAUGGCGACCGGCGCACGGGUGAGUAACACGUAUCCAACCUUCCGGUUACUCGGGGAUAGGCUUUCGAAAGAAAGAUUAAUACCCGAUGUUGUGUAUCUUUCUCCUGAUUGAUACGCCAAAGGAUUCCGGUAACCGAUGGGGAUGCGUUCCAUUAGGCAGUUGGCGGGGUAACGGCCCACCAAACCUUCGAUGGAUAGGGGUUCUGAGAGGAAGGUCCCCCACAUUGGAACUGAGACACGGUCCAAACUCCUACGGGAGGCAGCAGUGAGGAAUAUUGGUCAAUGGACGGAAGUCUGAACCAGCCAAGUAGCGUGAAGGAUGACUGCCCUCUGGGUUGUAAACUUCUUUUAUACGGGAAUAACAUGAGGUACGGGUACCUUAUUGCAUGUACCGUUAUGAAUAAGCAUCGGCUAACUCCGUGCCAGCAGCCGCGGUAAUACGGAGGAUGCGAGCGUUAUCCGGAUUUAUUGGGUUUAAAGGGAGCGUAGGUGGGAUAUUAAGUCAGCUGUGAAAGUUUGGGGCUCAACCUUAAAAUUGCAGUUGAUACUGGUUUUCUUGAGUACGGUAUAGGUGGGCGGAAUUCGUGGUGUAGCGGUGAAAUGCUUAGAUAUCACGAAGAACUCCUAUUGCGAAGGCAGCUCACUGGACCGGCACUGACACUGAUGCUCGAAAGUGCGGGUAUCAAACAGGAUUAGAUACCCUGGUAGUCCGCACAGUAAACGAUGAAUACUCGCUGUUUGCGAUACACAGUAAGCGGCCAAGCGAAAGCGUUAAGUAUUCCACCUGGGGAGUACGCCGGCAACGGUGAAACUCAAAGGAAUUGACGGGGGCCCGCACAAGCGGAGGAACAUGUGGUUUAAUUCGAUGAUACGCGAGGAACCUUACCCGGGCUUAAAUUGCGCUGGCUUUUACCGGAAACGGUAUUUUCUUCGGACCAGCGUGAAGGUGCUGCAUGGUUGUCGUCAGCUCGUGCCGUGAGGUGUCGGCUUAAGUGCCAUAACGAGCGCAACCCUUAUCUUUAGUUGCCAUCAGGUUUUGCUGGGGACUCUAAAGAGACUGCCGUCGUAAGAUGCGAGGAAGGUGGGGAUGACGUCAAAUCAGCACGGCCCUUACGUCCGGGGCUACACACGUGUUACAAUGGGGAGCACAGCAGGUUGCUACACGGCGACGUGAUGCCAAUCCGUAAAACUCCUCUCAGUUCGGAUCGAAGUCUGCAACCCGACUUCGUGAAGCUGGAUUCGCUAGUAAUCGCGCAUCAGCCACGGCGCGGUGAAUACGUUCCCGGGCCUUGUACACACCGCCCGUCAAGCCAUGAAAGCCGGGGGUACCUGAAGUACGUAACCGCAAGGAUCGUCCUAGGGUAAACCUGGUGAUUGGGGCUAAGUCGUAACAAGGUAGCCGUACCGGAAGGUGCGGCUGGAACACCUCCUUU
rnacentral:rRNA from 1 species